rnacentral:sRNA from 1 species
GAUCUGCGAGGAGGCAUGAAUGAGAGGGAGACACCCGGCCAGCUGGGCUUGGGGAACGCGUCGGGCGUGAGUGACGCCGAGGCGCGCCAGCCGGGGAAGUCGCCCCCCUUCAGCAUGAACUGGGUCGUGGGCAGUGCGGACCUGGAGAUUAUCAACGCCACCACUGGGCGGAGGAGCUGUGGGGGCCCGUCCCGGCUCUGCAAGCACGUGCUGUCUGCACGGUGGGCGCGGCUGUAUGGCAGGCUGAGCACACGGACACCCAGCCCCGGAGACACGCCCUCCAUGUACUGUGAGGCCAAGCUGGGGGCGCACACCUACCAGUCUGUGAAACAGCAGCUGUUCAAGGCCUUUCAGAAGGCUGGCCUGGGCACCUGGGUGAGGAAACCACCGGAGCAGCAGCAGUUUCUACUGACUCUCUAGGCUGCGGGCUCCUGGCUGCUGGAGCUGAGCGGGACGUUGGAGGGAUGGGACCGUGUCUGGGGGGCGACGUGGCGGGUCGGCCGGUUCCCUGCAUUCGUUUUACUUUGGUUCCCAGAAACACGCGAGUGUGCAAUGUUUGGACGAGCAACGACACAAAUUCAGAACGUGCCUCUUCCCAGAUCGCUGGCCCCAGAACCCUGUCCCCCACACCCAGGGGCACACGCACUGUUGAGUUAGCGCCGACUCUUCCUGUGGAGUCUGAGGGAGGGGCUCCAUUUAGGCAAAGAGGUUUUAGCUGCAGCCUUGGAAGGAGGCACCGACACGACACCAGGCAGGAGUGAGCCUCA